GACGAACGCUGGCGGCGUGCUUAACACAUGCAAGUCGAACGGAAAGGCCCUGCUUGCAGGGUACUCGAGUGGCGAACGGGUGAGUAACACGUGGGUGAUCUGCCCUGCACUUCGGGAUAAGCCUGGGAAACUGGGUCUAAUACCGGAUAGGAGCCAUUUUUAGUGUGAUGGUUGGAAAGUUUUUUCGGUGUAGGAUGAGCUGGCGGCCUAUCAGCUUGUUGGUGGGGUAAUUGCCUACCAAGGCGGCGGCGGGUAGCCGGCCUGAGAGGGUGAACUGCCACAUUGGGACUGAGAUGCGGCACAGGCACCUACGGGAGGCAGCAGUGGGGAAGACUGCAGGAGCGGCGCAAGCCUGGUGCAGCAGGGCUGCGUGGCGGAUGACGGCCUUAGGGUUGUAAACUCCAUUCGCUAGGGACGAAGCUUUUUGUGACGGUACCUAGAUAAGAAGCCCCGGCUAACUACGUG
rnacentral:rRNA from 1 species